rnacentral:rRNA from 1 species
GAUGAACGCUGGCGGCGUGCCUAAUACAUGCAAGUCGAGCGAACAGAUGAGGAGCUUGCUCCUUUGACGUUAGCGGCGGACGGGUGAGUAACACGUGGGUAACCUACCUAUAAGACUGGGAUAACUUCGGGAAACCGGAGCUAAUACCGGAUAAUAUUUCGAACCGCAUGGUUCGAUAGUGAAAGACGGCUUUGCUAUCACUUAUAGAUGGACCCGCGCCGUAUUAGCUAGUUGGUAAGGUAACGGCUUACCAAGGCAACGAUACGUAGCCGACCUGAGAGGGUGAUCGGCCACACUGGAACUGAGACACGGUCCAGACUCCUACGGGAGGCAGCAGUAGGGAAUCUUCCGCAAUGGGCGAAAGCCUGACGGAGCAACGCCGCGUGAGUGAUGAAGGUCUUCGGAUCGUAAAACUCUGUUAUUAGGGAAGAACAAACGUGUAAGUAACUGUGCACGUCUUGACGGUACCUGAUCAGAAAGCCACGGCUAACUACGUG